GGAAAUCCUUCUAAGCAGACAUGAACAGUCCUCAGCUUUCUGCCUCCCACAUAACUGCCUUACCAAGGGAAAAGAAGUCACGUGUCAGUGUCUACUGCCUUCAUGUCAUGGAAAGCGAGCGAGAGCGAUGGGACCUCAAGAACUACUGAUGCCAAGGAAAAGCCGUCCUACUGGGAGUGGAACAGUCGCCACUCUCAAUGAGAUAACUGUCUGUUUUGGUGAUUGCUCUGCUCACGGCCCACCUUGCUCCUGUUUGAAGAGGAAUCAUCCAGGAGCCUUCGAUGGGUGAGAAUAUGCAUAAGUGGACCUGAGCAGCCUGGACAUCCUUCUAAGGAGACAUGAAUAGUUGUCAUCUUUCUGCCUUCUGCGUAACUGGCUGUGAGUAAAUGUACCAAGAGAAAAGGAGUCACGCGUCAGUCUACUGUCCUCACACAAUGGAAAGGGAGCAAGAGUGACAAGACCACGAGCAUUGUUGAUGCGAUGCAAAAGCCGUCCAUCU